GGAUGACGUCCGGACAGCGUCGGCGAUGGCGGCGGGUGGGAAGCGAGAGGCGGUUCAGCGGGGCGACGAGGGCUAGUUCGUGCUCCGCGCGAGCGGAGUAACGGAGAACGCGAAAGGGUCGAGAGAGAGAAAGAGAGAGAACGAUGCGACCGCGAGGCGAAGAAAGGGAGAGGAGAGGAGAAGAGAGAGAUCGGAAGGAGAGAUCAGAGAAUCAGCGAGGAUACGCAGUGGAAGAUGCGAGUCGCGUUCGUUCGAGGCUGACGGAGGCGCUGUUUUUCAAACGGAGACACGUUCGGUCUCCGUUGUCCUUCAGCAGAUUGGCUCCUCAAACAAAUCUAUAAUGCUUCGUCGAGAUUAUUACAAUUAGAAGUGGAAGACGACGAAGCGAUCGAGCUGUAGGUUCAAGGACGCGUUCGGCUUCUUGCGCAACGAUCGCGCGUGUCUGUAUAUACACUAUACAGACUGGAGCGUUGCCCUCUUCGAGACGUCUUAUGUCCCGAUUUUAGAUAUUGUGCUGCUUGGGCUUAUCUGAGGCUUAGCGAUGAUAGCCUUGACAGAAGCGUCUUCCUUCAGUUUGGACAGAUAUUAAUUCUCGCGUGUCACCCUUCCGCGCGCGCGCGCGCACGCUUCGUUUUCCUAAACUGCCCUAAAGGAACGAAAGCCGAGACGGGGGCGGGGGACCGAAACUGGAUUACGUACGCGAGUGCUUUUGUGACGCCGGAUCGAUCUUGCGUCGCGUACAAGUCAAAGGAAUCGGAAUUGUAUUUGCGACGUUUACGUUUCGACCAGGUUUCGACAGCUGUAAUUCGAUUCGCAACCAUUAUAAAUCCAGUAACUAGAAUACGAAGGACGGGAAACCGUGAACGCACACGUUAGAACACAACGCUAUCUAACGGGUGAUCAAAGUAUUCGUUGUGGUGUACUCUUCCGAAGAUUGAGAGCGUGAAGCAAUUAUUUCACUCAACUCGUGUUGAUAAUAAAAUAUCUUUAGAAAAGUAGAAUAGCGAAAUACACAUGCAAUAAUCGACGGCUUAGGUUUAAGUAAAUAUCUGCCGAAACAUGAUUUUGUUCUUUUUUUUUCUUUGGUAUCCCGUAUACGGUUAUAUUUAAGAUUAUUCUUGAAUGCUAUUUAUACCGCUAAUUGGCGAAAUUCAAAAGUUAUACUAUAAUUAAAUCUCAUUCAUGUUUCAUGUAUUUAAAGCCUUUAUCAACGUUAUUUCAGAUAUGCACAAUUUCGAAUUAAAUGUUUCAAAAUAUCUUAAUCUCUUAUUAGCGGCAUUUUAAUUAAGAAGAAUUAAUAUCGCGCAAUAUUUCCGUUCAGAAAAGUACUUGAAAUAUGUCAGAAGCAGGCGAUUAAAAAUUAUCACCUUAUCAGAUUGUAUGAUGGAGCGAUAGGUUUUAUUAAUUUGACGAAAUAUUUUUGUAAAAAUUACUUAAGUAACGAAUGUGCUGUUCGUAAUAAUAUAGAAUGUGUCAUACGGUUUCAAAUUUUCCAAAUCUGUUUAUAAAUGUACAAGUUAUCUGAUAUUUUAUUCGUCAAAUCUCGACUUGUGAUCAACGUUUGCUCGUUGCGACACAAUUUUGCGACGCAAUAAAAUUAAAUCACGAGAAAAUAACUCGACCUGAUAUAUAUAUAGAUAUAAUUAUAUGAUACAUUUCUUCGCAGUAUACGUUUUAUUUUAUUGUAUUGACGUAAAGCGUUAUCCACCUAAUCUUCGAUGAAUUUCUUUGACUCGAGAAUUAUAUGAAAUUAUUGCAGAGUUAUCGCAUAAUUACUUUCUACUCGCGCGAUAGUGGAUUGUAUCGUCGGCUCGUUGCAAUUUGCUAAUCUUAUCUAUCAUGCGCUGAUCGCCGUAAAUAGCGAGGAAAGAGAUGCGCAGUUCUCGUUGCGAAUUAUGCAUGCUAAAUUCGCGCGAUCAAACGUGAUGAGUCGAUAAUUAGACGUGGACUCCUUGGACGAUCACCAAUUCGCGUCAACGGACGUCGGCGAGUGCGUAUGAGUAUAUAGCGAAUACAUAUAAGUCGCGCAUCCGGUCUAAUGUUUAUCGGCUUUCACAGUCGAUUCAAAAACAUCGAGAUUUACGUAACAUCUUAUUGUGCGAGCGCGCGACGUUGAAACUUCCUCGGAAUAUAUAUUUCACAGCGAAGAGAUAACGGUAUCAAGCGAUUGAACGAUCGAUAAUUCGAUAUAUAAUUUCUAUGUGCAAUUGCGUUUUCUAAAUAAACAAUUCUUCGCUAUGAGAUCCUGUGAUAAAGAUUUUCCUUAUUUAUAUAACACGUUUGUAGACAGCUUGUCGUGAAGACAAAGUUUUUACACAGAAUGUUUUAAAUGUGUGAAGGAACUCGAUGAGGCUCUAAAUUUUGAUUUUAGGACUAUUCGAAUGAGAUGGCAUUUAUUUCGACAAAAUCAACACACACCUUGGCUUUGAAACAUCAAAAUCAUGAACCUUGAUUUCGUACAAUGUAUGAAAUGUCUUUGUGAUGGUAUAAUUGCGAGAAUAAAUACAAAUAUUUAGUAUGUGUGGAAUGUGUGGAAUUUAAAGAGAUUAAAAUUUACUGGAAUAGGAUGAAAAUACUGGAAAAAUACUGGAAUUUACUGGAAUAGAAUGAAAAUAUUUACGAAACUUGUAAUCGUGAUUGACUCGUGGAUUACUUUGUAAAUAAGACGAUAUCUCGAAAUACUUUCUAUACUUAUUGAUGUAUGUAAACAUCGAUCUGUAGUUCGCUGUCUCUUUUCCUUAUAUAAAUAUUUAUUUCAUUGUGCACUGGACACUAUGUAGAUGCAACAAUUAUAUCGCUUUUGAUGUUGGAUUUCUGAUAUUGUCUUUGGAAUCUUUGAGUUAAGCAAGAUUGCUUUGACAGUGUUAAUAAAAUUAUUUCUCAGAAGAUUAUAAUUAUUGCAAAUGCCUCUGGAG